UACGUAGGGACCAAGCGUUGUUCGGAUUUACUGGGCGUAAAGGGCGCGUAGGCGGCCCGAUAAGUCCCGCGUGAAAGCCCCCGGCUCAACUGGGGAACGGCGCGGGAAACUAUCGGGCUUGAGUUCGGGAGAGGGAAGCGGAAUUCCGGGUGUAGCGGUGAAAUGCGUAGAUAUCCGGAGGAACACCAGUGGCGAAGGCGGCUUCCUGGACCGACACUGACGCUGAGGCGCGAAAGCUAGGGGAGCAAACGGG
rnacentral:rRNA from 1 species